rfam:Triticum urartu cultivar G1812 contig1203232, whole genome shotgun sequence.
UUCAUACUUCCUUCAUCCGAAAAUACUUGUCUUUAAAAUGGAUAAAAUGGAUGUAUCUAUAACUAAAAUAUGUCUAGAUACAACCAUUUCUAGGACAAAUAUUUCUGGAUGGAUGGAGUACUUU